AGUGAACGCUGGCGGUAGGCCUAACACAUGCAAGUCGAACGGCAGCACAGUAAGAGCUUGCUCUUACGGGUGGCGAGUGGCGGACGGGUGAGGAAUACAUCGGAAUCUACUUUUUCGUGGGGGAUAACGUAGGGAAACUUACGCUAAUACCGCAUACGACCUACGGGUGAAAGCAGGGGAUCUUCGGACCUUGCGCGAUUGAAUUAGCCGAUGUCGGAUUAGCUAGUUGGCGGGGUAAAGGCCCACCAAGGCGACGAUCCGUAGCUGGACUGAGAAGAUGAUCAGCCCCACAGUAACUGAGAAACGGUCCUGGAUCCGAAGGGAGGCAGCAGAGGGGAAUAUUCGACAAUGGGCGGAAAACUGAUCCAGCCCUACCGCGUGGGUGAAGAAGGUCUUAGGGUUGCAAAGCCCUUUUGUUGGGGAAGAAAAGAAGCAGGCUAAUCCCCCGAUGUUCUGACGGUACCCAAAGAAUAAGCACCGGCUAACUUCGUG
rnacentral:rRNA from 1 species